rnacentral:rRNA from 1 species
UCCCAGCUGUAAACGAUGCCGGCUAGGUGCCGGCCGAGGUUUCGGCCUCGGCCGGUGUCGAAGCGAAGGCGUUAAGCCGGCCGCCUGAGGAGUACGGCCGCAAGGCUGAAACUUGAAGGAAUUGACGGGGGGGCACCACAAGGGGUGAAUGCCUGCGGCUCAAUUGGACUCAACGCCGGGAAUCUUACCGGGGGCGACAGCAGGAUGAAGGUCAGGCUGAAGACCUUACCUGA